rnacentral:other from 1 species
UUAAUCCUGAGGUGUGCGUCACGCCUGCGUUAUAAACCCACAAAUUGACGUCGGGAGCGCGCGUCGGAACCGCACGGGGAUGCCCGAUACGCUCGGGAACCCUUCGCAAACUGUAGCGCCCCCACCUGCCGAGAGGCGGGUGUUAUAACAGGACGAACGGCACCGCGGGAUUAGU